rnacentral:rRNA from 1 species
GUGCCAGCCGCCGCGGUAAUACGGAGGGUCCAAGCGUUGUCCGGAAUCACUGGGCGUAAAGGGUGUGCAGGUGGGGCAGCAAGUCAUAGGUGAAAGCCCGUGGCUCAACCACGGAAGUGCCUUCGAAACUGUUGCUCUUGAGUCCCGGAGAGGUUGCCGGAAUUCGUGGUGUAGCGGUGAAAUGCGUAGAUAUCACGAGGAACACCAGAGGCGAAAGCGGGCAACUGGACGGGUACUGACACUCAGGCACGAAAGCGCGGGGAGCAAACAGGAUUAGAAACCCGAGUAGUCC